UAGACCCCCCUAUGCAGGGAUGUUUGGACUUUUCAAGUCUGGCAAUGGGCCGUGAGAUGUUUGGGGUUGUGGGGGCUCUUAAUUUUGGAGGGACUUUGAAACAUGUUCUUAAAUACCACAUGGAGUUUAGUGUGGACUAUGGAAAAGGGGCUGAUUUGUCGAGAAGGGUCAAAAACAUUGCUAAGCUGGAGUUCCCACGAGUGAAAGGAGCAGGAGACAAAGGAAAAUACAGUUAUAAAUAUGAAGAAGAGCCGCGGAAGGGACAUGGAAGAGACUUAAGGGCCUCGGAUAUAAGAUUACCAGGUUAAUGCGCUAGAUUGAUGAGAAAAAAAGGACUGACAAAACCCGGGACCAGGAGGAAGAGACGCUGGAUGAAGAUUGGAUUUUUUUUUUAUUUCUUUUUUAUUAUUAGGAUUGUUUUAUAAAAUUGAUGAAUGUUAGAAAAAUGUUGGAACGAAAUUAUUUGGCUUUAGCAAAAAUGUUUAAAGAAUUAUGUAAGAAUAUUAUGGUUAUGAGAAGUUGGUAAAAAUAAGAUUUAAGUUUUAGGUUUUAAGGUUUUUUAUAGUAAGAUAAGAUUAAAAUAGAUUAAGGUAAUGUAGUGACAGAAUAUUAUGAAAUAUGGAAAGGAUUUGCUGCGACAAUUAACAACUAGGAUAC